GUGUGCGCCGGGUACGUCAUGUACUCAUCGUCCACCGUCAUGAUGCUCACCGUCGGCGACGGCGUCUACGGCUUCACCUUGGACACCUCCACCGGCGAAUACGUCCUCUCGCACGACGACGUCAAGAUCCCGGACCCCGGCCAGCGGAUCUACUCGGGAAACAACGGCAACGUCGACAAGUGGGCGCCCGAGAUGAAAGCGUACGUGAGGUACCUGCAGCUCGGCGGCGCGGACAGGGCCAAGGGCCCGUAUUCCUACCGAUACAUCGGCGCGCUCGUGGGCGAUUUCCACCGAACGCUCCUGUACGGAGGCAUCUGGCUGUACCCGCCGGAUAAAUCCGCGCCCCAGGGCAAGGCCCGGCUGCUGUACGAGGUGGCGCCGAUGGGUUUCCUCGCGGAGCAGGCGGGCGGGAUGGCCAUGUGGGGCGAGUGCGCGGAGAAGCGCGUCAUGGAGGUUGUCCCCGAGCAGAUCCACCAGCGGUCGCCCAUGUUUGUCGGAUCGUCGAAGAUGGUGAGGGAGCUCCAGGAGUUCUUGGAGGACCGCGCGCCGGUGUACAGGAACGGACCGCGGGACGAGCUCUGAUUCGACGAUGCGUUGCCAAGUGGUGAACGACGACGCGUGUACAUUGACGGCGAGUGCCGCCGCGUCGACGAUGAAGACCUCGUCGGCGGGGCGGACGCGCCCAACUUUUAGCCUAAAUUUCCAAGAGUUUUUAUGAGAUUUUUGACACUGCUCUGACUGUGCUGUUGGGGGAACUUUGCUGUUUGAGUGGACGUUCCGUGAACCCGCGCGUAGAACGCGUCGCGACGUCGCGGUUGCAACAUCGACGGCUGGCGUCCACGGAGAGUGCCGCAGUCGAGUCGAGUCCGCGCGCUUUUGACCAUGCCGACCGUCGGAUCGACCAUCGUGCGCAGGCAGCGGACCGCCGCGCCUGCCGCCAAAAAGCUCGGCAUCACCAAGCUCUCCGACACCGCCGCUUCGCGAGGUCCGGCCAGUGCGCGACGCCGCCCCUUCCGACCCACUCGAUCCGAUUUCAAACGCGCCAAACGUAUCAAGAGACUAACGCGCGCACAUUCAUCGCAGGAACACGCGCGGAGGACGCCGACGGCGAUCCUAUCACCCCAUCCCCGACGGUACGCGCGCGACUCGCUUCGAUACGCCCGAUGAGGCACCCGACCGUUGGCGCCCGACACGCCCGCCGCGGAAGGCGCCGACGCCGACGAGGGCCCGACGCUGACCCCGAAUUCCGCCCUUGCUUCCAUCGCAGGCUGUGCGUAGAGCGCCCGAGCCGUCACGAUCGCCGGCGGAGGCCGAGCCGGUCAAUCAGCGCGCGGGUGCGGACACCCCCCCCCGCCCGCGCCCACGCCCGGCACCGAGAAACGAACAAUAACAAUCCCACCCCGCUCCCUCCCUCUCGCGCUCACCGUCCCCGUCUCAUCGCUCGCAGGGUACAACUCGCGCGGCCACGCGGUGUAUCGCGCGAAGCAUUUAAGCCCGCCCAAGCGAUCCAGCCUGCAGGUGCGCUCUCCAACCUCCCCUCCACGGACCCGCCCCGUCCCGCCCCAGACUUUCGCUCACGAAGGAUCCCAACCAACCCCCCGCGCGCAGGACUGGGACGAGUGGGGCGCGUUCGAGAACGAGGUCGCAUCCGCGGUGACCUCCGUCGCGUCCACCGUGACCAACAUGGUGGGCGGAGGCGGCAAUCGCGGCGGGCAACCGCGUCGCUCACCCGCGGGUCGCGCGCCAGCCAGGGACCCCCAGGUGAGCCGAGGCGCGACGGAUUCGACACCUCGAAACGCACCCGCCCGGAUCGUUUUUUUCACCCUCCCUCCAGCCGUGGCUGACCGGACCUCACCCGACCUCUCCCGACCCGUCACGCGCAGGGCGCAGCCUCCGUGCAGGACUUCAUGACCGCGACGGGCGCGGCGGACGUCGUCAACGUCGUCGGCCGCGCCGCCGCCUUCCUCGGCACCGCCAUUGACAGCGCCAUCGAGAACACCGCCGCCGUCGUCGAACACGCCGCCAAGCGAGCCGACCAGAUGGCGUUCGCCAACUCUCCCAAGAACGGACCUACCCGCGAUUCGCCCCGGUGGAGGCGGCACGGAUCGAGCCCGGGUAAGGGCGCGCGGCUGUCUAACCUGUCUCCCAAGGCGAUGAACAAGGGCGGAUCGCGAUUCGGCGGCGGUAAGGGUCACGGCUCGCCGGGGGGCGGCGCGAGGAGGAGCCCCGCGGGCAAGGGUCCAUACAGGAGCCCCGGCGGGGCCGGCAUCAGGGUGUUCCGCUCGCCCAGCCUGGCGUCCUCGGGGAAGAAGAGCAGGUCGCGGAUGUCCGGGGAGUACGGCCGCGUCGACGCGAUCCCGAUGAAGACGGGGGACGACGCGCCCGGCGACGAUGACUGGGGCUGGAACGCCAAGUCACCGACGGGGGAGGAAAAGACCCGCAACGUCGCCGCCGCCACCGCGCACCUUCGGCGUGAGCUCGCGGAGGUUCACACCGAGCGCGAUGAGCUCAAGUCCGCCGUCGGGGCGCUGAACAGGCGGCUCAAGACACUCGCGGAGGAGCACGAGAUGCUCAAGAAGCAGAACCUCGGCUUGCAGAAGCGCAUGGCGGCGAGCCAGUACGAGAGUCAGGGCGGGGGAUCCGACCCGCUCGCCGAACAGGUGCGGCACCAGCUGGAGCACCUGGUGAUCGAAAAGGGUAAGCUGGCGCAGGAGAACGCCAGCCUGAGGCGGGAGUGCGAGUCCCUUCAGGAGCUGCUGAUGUACUCCAACAUGGCGUCGCAGGUUGAGUCGAUGUACUCCUCGGGCGGGAUCUUUGGGCACGCGUACGACGAGGAAGGAACCGACGACGACGACAUCGACGUCGAUAGGGUCGACGUCGAUAGGGUCGAUGGGGUCGCGGGGGAAGACGACGAGGCUUUCGAGACUGUCGCGCCACGAGCCGAGGAGGCUGACGACGCGCAGCCGCCGCCGCCGCGGGAGGAGGACGCCGAGGUCGCCGUCGCCGAGCCGCCGGCGGCGGAGUCGGAGCCCGUCGCGGAGGACGUCGCCGCCGACGCCGCCGACGCCGCCGCGGAGCCCGAGCCCGAGCCCGAGCCCGAGCCCGAGCCCGUCGUCGCGACCGCGACCGAGGAGGAACCCGAGGCUCCUGCGGAGGGCAAAAAGAAGCGAGGGGGCAAGAAGGGGAAGAAGGGUAAGCGGUGACGCGUUUUUCGACGACCGCGGUGCUAUCUAUCGACUAUCCUCCACUUCCCCGCUCCCCUUCCGGGAACCACUCCUCCCCCCCUCGACCGCGCCGCCUCGACCCCUCCGCCUCGCGCCCUCCCGCCUCGCGCCCUCCGCACCGCGGUGAUGAACGAGCGCUGGGGGCUCGUGACAUCCUCGUCCACGCACAGGUUACAACACACGGCACCCUCCCCGUCCCCGUCCCCGUCCCCGUCCCCGUCCCCGUCCCCGUCCCCGUCCCCCGCCGCUGCCAACCCGUAGAGCAUCACGCACCACAGCGCGUAGGAAUCUAUCCGCAUCUUCCUCGCCUGGUCCUUCACGUGAAAACCAAACGCAUCCGCUCGGCGCCGGCGGGGCAGACAACACGGACACAGCACGAGCGCGUGCGCCCCCGUUGCGCGCCACAGCUCCACGGCGCGUCUGGCGAGGUCGCCGCACAGGUGAACGCCGACGACCAGGCACUUACCCCCGUCGCGUUCCGCUUUGGCGACGGCGUCGACGACGGUACGCUUCGCCUCGUCGGUAAAGACAUCCUCGAGGUGGAACGUGACGUUUCGCAUGCUCGGAUGCGCAAGGUGCGGGAGCUUCAUCCUCGCGUCGGCGUCGCACAUGUGAAUCGUCGCGUCCGGGAACUCGUGCGCCAGGAGCAUCGACAGGCACCCCCGGCCGCUGCACAGCUCCACGAACACCAGCCCCGCGCCCGUGCGGUGCGCGUCGGCGUCGUCGGCGGCGGCGGACGAGGGGAAGAGGCGCCGGACGCAGCGUCUGAGCUGCUCCAGCGCCGCCCACGAUUCGAUGAGCUCCUUCUUGCAGCGCGAGUAGCGCCGCCAGUAGUCGAACCGAACGUCCUCGAGCAGGGCGCGGCGCAGCGGGGUCGCGGCGAAGGCGCGAAGAUGCGGAUUUGUUAUCUCGCCCUCGAGCGCGAAGUCGAGCGCAGCCUUCUUGCGGUUUAGGGCUGCACAGGGCGCGCGCGAAGCGUCGUGACCCUCCUCCGUGUCUUGACCCUCCUCCAUGCCGUGACCCUCCUCCUGCCGUGACCUUCCUCCGCGCCCCAGCCGCUGUGGGUCUGGCUUUCGUCGCCGGACUCUUCCGAGACUUACGAAGGCACGAAGCUCUGCAGAUCCGGAGCGAAAGUUGCGGGAAAAAACGGGGUGACGUCAUUGUUCGUCGCACGCGACCAUGCAGAUGAGCGCAUUCGCCGCUCGCGCCAACGCCGUUCUUCCCCCCGCGCUCGCCGCCCGAUUCGGCUUCCAUAAAGGCCGCGCCACAAAGCCCCGCAACAUGUCCUCCAAGGCUGUUCCCGAGGGUCUCAGCGACGGCUGUAAGGGCGCUGAGGUGCCGGAUGGCGUCAAGCUCCCGAUCAUGGCCGACGAGUCCGUCAUGUGCCCCAAGGCGCACGGAACCACCGAGACCCCGGUGCAGCAGAACCUCCGAUGGAACUGCGAGUGGAAGACCGCGGACAAGAUCUGCUCCUUCAACCGACACUACGCCGAAUACGCCGGGUAUUGGGAGUCCACCAGCUUCCUCGACGAGGUCGACAGGGAGGGUGAGACCACCUAUUACGACUCGGUCAGCGGUAAGCCCCUCUUCAUCGCGCCCCGCGGGCGGAGCUUCGAUGACUUCGUGAAAGAGUCCAAGUCGCACGGCUGGCCGAGCUUCAGGGACGAGGAGGUCGUCUGGGAGAACGUGCGAUGCCUCAAGGACGGCGAGGCCAUCUCGCUGGCGGGCACCCACCUGGGGCACAACCUUCCCGACAAGAAGGGGAACCGGUACUGCAUCAACCUCGUGUCCGUCGCGGGCCGACCGAUGUGACGAGAUGGACGAGAGAAGAGAGAGGCGUGUUUGUCUGGAGCUGCCGCGUGUAAUGCAAGACGAGGUCUGAGAGAGCAGUCGUCAGCCCCGCCAUCGCGGGCGGGAAAUUUUUUGUCCAGCCAAGUGGAUCCAGUCGCUUCCCUGAACGCUGAACUCGAGCCGGGUGAUCCACUCGUUUGCCCCGUCAGCAGAGGAGCCAAUUCUUCAGGGUUGCCGCAUUCGCGCGCGCGCCCACGGGCCCGUGCCAUCGAGUCUUCGACCGCGCGUGGCCGCAUCCGCGAUGAUUGUCGCCACUACCACUCAGGCUGUCGCCCUCGGCGGCGCCCGCGCCGUCCUUCGGGGGCGUCGUCUCCCAUCCAACCGCGGGAGCAGUAAAGUAAUCCAAAAAGCCCCCGCCGUAAAGCCCCGCCGUAACGCGGUCGUGACCAGCGCUUCGGCCAUCGGGACCAACCUGACGACCUGGCUCCUCAGGCAGGAGAUGGAGCGCAAGAUCGACGGGGAGCUCGCGGUGGUCCUAUCCUCCGUCUCCAUCGCUUGCAAGAGGGUGCGAUCUCGAUAUCCCACCGCCGCCCGCGCGCCCGCGCGACCAAUUCGCCCAACCCCCGAGAAGAAUCCCUCCGCGGAUGACGAUCAUCGUCAAUCCCUAACGAACCGCUCGGUUCCGGAACCGACCCCUGACGCCGCGAUUCACACCCUUCUCUUCCCACAGAUCGCCAGCCUGGUUCAAAAGGCGGGCAUCUCCGGCAUGACCGGCGCGGCCGGCGCCGUGAACGUCCAGGGCGAGGACCAGAAGAAGCUCGACGUCGUCAGCAACGAGAUCUUCUGCGAGGUUCUGCGAACCUCCGGGAGGACCGGCGUGAUCGCGUCCGAGGAGGAGGACACGCCGGUGGCGGUCGAGGAGACGUACAACGGCAACUACGUCGUCGUCUUCGACCCACUCGACGGCUCCUCCAACAUCGACGCCGCGGUGUCCACCGGUUCCAUCUUCGGCGUGUACUCGUCCGAUCAAUCAUGCGUCCCCGACUGGGGCGCCGACGACGAGGGCGUGGUGCAGGAGAAGUGCAUCACGAACGUGUGCCAGCCGGGUAACAACCUCCUCGCGGCCGGGUACUGCAUGUACUCAUCGUCCUGCAUCCUCAUGCUCACCGUCGGCCACGGCGUCUACGGCUUCACCCUGGACCCGUCCAUCGGCGAGUUCGUCUUGUCCCACGAGGACGUCAAGAUCCCGGAGAAGGGGAAGAUCUACUCCUUCAACGAGGGCAACUACGUCAACUGGGAGCCCGGACUCAAGGAGUACAUGGACGCGCUGAAAA
rnacentral:lncRNA from 1 species